rnacentral:snoRNA from 1 species
CCAAGGAACAGCUGGCAAAAUGGUUUUCCCACUCUGUGGGUUGUCUCUUGUCUCUGAUGAUCUCUUUUGCUGUGCAAAACCUUUUUACUGAGAUGUGGUUCCCCUACCCUGUGAUGUACAAUCCCUUUCCACAACGUUGGAGAAGAAGCUGGGCCUCGUGCCUGCACCUGCAUAUUCCUACAACUUCUCAGAGUCCUUUGGGCAGUGACUGAGGAGAUAAACCAUGCAGGAAACAGUC